AUGACCGUGUGAAUUAAAUACUCAGUUAUCUAUUCCUCUAAAAUACAUGAUGCGUCUGAUUCUUUUUCGUUCACAGAUGAUGGUGCAUGGUUGAGGUUUUUAUGCUAUCACUCUGUUGGUUGUUUUAUGAUUGUAAUUUUUUGUUUUAAAACGUGUCUGUUGUGUGUGAUGUACAAAUUAGAGCAGAGGUUUGUACAUACGGUUUUAAAUUGAGGGGGAGCCAUAAUUUUGUUAUCAGAAAAAAAUUUGAUUGAGGUUUCAUCUGGUUGUGUUACGGUUGCGCAAUCUGUGGUUCGCAACGACUGUGAUCAUUUCCUGACAAAUGUAUGGAGCUGUGUUCUUUUUGGUGGGGAAUUAUGGUUGGUGAUGUUAACAAUGGAUUGAGUCUUUCUGUUUGGUAUGAUUAUAUCGUUGAACAAGCAUGGUUUUAAAGUGGAUGCAGAUGACCAUUUUGUUUGCACGAGAAAAUGGUUGAGUUAGUGGUUUUUAAUCGUUUAAUUGUUGUGCCUUUGCUAUGAUCCCUGUUCCAGCGGUGUUUGAUUGGCGCAAAUAGAUUUUCAUUGUUGUUUCUCAGCUGUUAUUUUCGUUGCUGUUCUGUGAGUUAGUGUUAAUGGCUUUGCUGUGUUUGCGAUUUUCAGGAACUUGGAUCGUUGGACAAAGCACUUGGCCCUUUGGCUUUUGAGGUAUAUUUAUUUGCGGUUGUUAUGGUGGAAUGUGCAAUCGUUAUGUCUUAAGUUGAGCCUGGUUCUUUAAUAAAAACAACCAAAUGUAUUGACUUUUGCAUGUGUUUUGCGUGAGAACACCAAGUUGUGAUGUGUUCGUCGUUGUUAACAUUAUCAGCAACUUUGGCUUUUCAUGUGUUCGCAUGGUAAAAAUGGCUAAUAUAUUGAGUUUGAAAAUAAGGGUUUGGGGUUCGCUGUCUUUCCAUGUGUAUAAUUUUACCCCAUUUUUCGUUUCUUUAUAAUUUCAAUUAUCUUUCAGCAACCUAAUCACUAAGCUUAUUAAAUUCAUUGACCAGGUGAUUUUGGAUUCAAUCCAGAAGUUCCUAUUUCUCAGAUUGGUGUUGUCUGUUCCUUUGUGGUAGUGAGAUUGUUGGGAUGAGUGGGUAGGGUUGGAUCGUCUGAUGAAAAACACUGACGAGAAUAAGAAGAAGCACGAGUACCUCAACCAGAAACAGGGAACAGACAAGAAUGCAAAGCUAAUACACACAACACAUACUAAACCAAAAAGUUAUCAUGCGUCAAGAGGGAAGAAGCGAAAGAAUGACUCUGUCUGUAAGAUGGGUUUCUGUAAUGCGAAUUUCGUGAGGUUCAUAACGCUGAUUUGAUUCUCUCAUAAGAAAGGAUCUCCUCUCUGGCUUUCUGGAACAAGUCAUCGAAGC